GAAGUGUGGACGCCAGUCUGCAUGGAGCCGACCUUGAAAUACCACCCUUUAAUGUUUGAUGUUCUAACGUUGACCCGUAAUCCGGGUUGCGGACAGUGUCUGGUGGGUAGUUUGACUGGGGCGGUCUCCUCCUAAAGAGUAACGGAGGAGCACGAAGGUUGGCUAAUCCUGGUCGGACAUCAGGAGGUUAGUGCAAUGGCAUAAGCCAGCUUGACUGCGAGCGUGACGGCGCGAGCAGGUGCGAAAGCAGGUCAUAGUGAUCCGGUGGUUCUGAAUGGAAGGGCCAUCGCUCAACGGAUAAAAGGUACUCCGGGGAUAACAGGCUGAUACCGCCCAAGAGUUCAUAUCGACGGCGGUGUUUGGCACCUCGAUGUCGGCUCAUCACAUCCUGGGGCUGAAGUAGGUCCCAAGGGUAUGGCUGUUCGCCAUUUAAAGUGGUACGCGAGCUGGGUUUAGAACGUCGUGAGACAGUUCGGUCCCUAUCUGCCGUGGGCGCUGGAGAACUGAGGGGGGCUGCUCCUAGUACGAGAGGACCGGAGUGGACGCAUCACUGGUGUUCGGGUUGUCAUGCCAAUGGCACUGCCCGGUAGCUAAAUGCGGAAGAGAUAAGUGCUGAAAGCAUCUAAGCACGAAACUUGCCCCGAGAUGAGUUCUCCCUGACUCCUUGAGAGUCCUGAAGGAACGUUGAAGACGACGACGUUGAUAGGCCGGGUGUGUAAGCGCAGCGAUGCGUUGAGCUAACCGGUACUAAUGAACCGUGAGG
rnacentral:rRNA from 1 species